CUUAAUGUGAAAACGGACUUUACCGUAGAUUGGAUUCCUCCUCUUCCACCUGCCCUCUUGGACACAUUUUCCACCCCCCAUCUUUCCUCUCCUCUGAUAUAUUCAUAGGGAAGGUGAGUCCCAGGAGAGGUGCGGGGUACUGGUGAACAGCCCUGUCCUCAGGUGUGAGGCUUCAGGAAGAGGUGAAUGGGAGAAGAUAGGAGACCCAGGCGAUUGGCUGCCCUAUUGCUGUGCUGUGGGCUGCAGAUCUGAUGCUCAGAAUUUUCAUUUUUUAAAACCAUUUCUAAAGCCUUGAAAUGUCAUUGUGUUAUGUGUGUUUAUCUAGAGUCUAAAUGGAAAGGGCCUGUGUUUCCCAUCAGAUGCCCCAGGAGGAAGGGAACAGAGGCUGAUGACAUUGGAAGGGCAGGUCACUUUGCCAAGAAGUGAGGUGCUUGGGGCUGGUUUCAGCUACAGAGGAGCACCUGAUACAGCAUUGAACAAUUGCUGGGUAUAUUUGACAAAUCGGGAACCGAGUUCAUUAGGGAGUUGGGGAACUUAAAAUCAGGCUGCCUGCAGGAAAAUGUAUGAAGGGAUUAUGCCGUGCAGCCACCAGUAAUUAAAGCACCAGGAACCCGGGCUGAAUGGACGAUCUUCCGCCUGAAUGGAACCUGCAUGGACUGAGCAAAACUUUCUUGAGUCACAGUGACUUCGGAGGGAAAUCGUUUGCUAUAAACAGAAUGGAUGGAAAAAAAUGAACAUCCAGAAUCUCUAGGGAAUGAAACCAAAUCCACAAGGGCAAUACUAUUUCUACUGCAUUCGUGGUCAAAGAAACUCUGAGCAUGUCCUUCACACAAGAGGCAAUAGAAAUAGAAAACAAAUCUGUGGAAAAGAAUUCAUCCUCCCUAGUAAUUAUAGGCACUUAAAGCACAAAGUCACGCCAUGCCAGUUAAACUGGUAAAAGCAAAUUAUGAUUACAAAAUCAAAAUCUGGCAAGGCUUUUGAGAAAGCUGUAUUGUCCUAGUAACAUAAAUUGAUACAAUAUUUCUGGAAAGCAACAUGGCAAAGUGUAAUGAGCCAUGAAAUAUCACAUCCUUGGGCCUGGUAAACAUAUGCUUGAGACCGUAUUCUGAAUAAAUAACUCAAAAAAAAGAAAAAUCAUGGGGCAGAGAAGAGACAAAAAGAAAAAAAUGGAAAAAAUACCAAAAAAUGAUGAAAUAAAAGCAUAUUAUGAUAUACAAUGAAAUAUAGUAUUACUAUUAAGAAUGUUACAUUUGUGUAUGAUGAAAGGAAUAGAAAUGUUGAUAUAAAAUAAUGCUAAGUGAAAAAUAGUUAAGCCCAAAUUUUGUGAAUAUUGACUAUAAGUAUGU